GAUAGCUCAGUUGGUAGAACAUGAGACUCUUAAUUUCUGGGUCAUGGGUUUGAGCCCCACAUUGAUCG
rnacentral:tRNA from 1 species